UCGGGUAUGGUGUAACGGCUAACAUUGCCGCCUCUCACAACGUGGAUUGUUAACGUGGAUUGUUGCGCGGCAGCUCGGGGUUCGAUUCCCCGUACCCGAA